GACACAGAGCCUGCUAUAUAGUAUUCUCCAAAAACCUUAGCUAGUGCUGUUAGUGCCUACGUAGGUUUAGUUUUCGAAGUUCUUCUGUGGCCCUUUUUGCUUAUUAUAUCAAUCCUUGGUGGGAGACAGAGGAAGCAUUUUUAGUGCUAUUUUACAACUGAGGAAAUAGAGGUUUGAAGAGAACUCAGGAAGGCUCAGGGUUAUCCAGCAUUGUGAGUGACAGAGCUUGGAUCUGAACGUAAGUCUGCUCCAGACUUCUGUUUCCUGAAGCUUUCUCUUGAAAUCCCAUGGCUGAUCCUAUAAUGCAUCCUCAAGUGGUCAUCUUAAGCCUCAUCCUACAUCUGGCAGAUUCUGUAGCUGAUUCUGUAAAUGUUGAUGGAGUGGCAGGUCUACCUGUCACACUGCCCUGCCGCUACAACGGAGCUAUCACAUCCAUGUGCUGGAAUAAAGGCACAUGUUCUGUUUUCUCAUGCCCAGAUGGCAUUGUCUGGACCAAUGGAACCCACGUCACCUAUCGGAAGGAGACACGCUAUAAGCUAUUGGGGAACCUUUCACGCAGGGAUGUCUCUUUGACUAUAGCAAAUACAGCUGUGUCUGACAGUGGCAUAUAUUGUUGCCGUGUUCAGCACAGUGGGUGGUUCAAUGACAUGAAAAUCACCAUAUCAUUGAAGAUUGGGCCACCCAGGGUCACAACUACUCCAAUUGUCAGAACUGUUCGAACAAGCACCACUGUUCGAAUGACAACAACCCUUCCAACAACAACAACUCUUCCAACGACAACGACCCUUCCAACGACAACAACCCUUCUAACGACAACGACCCUUCCAACAACAACGACUCUUCCAACGACAACGACUCUUCCAACGACAACGACUCUUCCAACGACAACAACCCUUCCAACGACGACUCUUUCAAAGACAACGACUCUUCCAAUGACAACGACCCUUCCAACGACAACAACUCUGCCAACAACAACAACUCUUCCAAUGACAACGACCCUUCCAACGACAACGACUCUUCCAACGAUAACGACCCUUCCAACGACAACGACUCUUCCAACGACAACAACUCUGCCAACGACAACAAUGGUCUCUACCUUUGUUCCUCCAACACCAUUGCCCAUGCAGAACCAUGAACCAGUAGCCACUUCACCAUCUUCACCUCAGCCAGCAGAAACCCACCCUAUGACACUGCUGGGAGCAACAAGGACACAACCCACCAGCUCACCAUUGUACUCUUACACAACAGAUGGGAGUGACACCGUGACAGAGUCUUCAGAUGGCCUUUGGAAUAACAAUCAAACUCAGUUGUCCCCAGAACAUAGUCCACAGAUGGUCAACACCACUGAAGGAAUCUAUGCUGGAGUCUGUAUUUCUGUCUUGGUGCUUCUUGCUGUUUUGGGUGUCGUCAUUGCCAAAAAGUAUUUCUUCAAAAAAGAGAUUCAACAACUAAGAUAAACAGCAUGGGGACUAUAGAACAGGAUGAGGGUCUGUUUGAGCACCAGGAAAGCAGCUAAUUUGGAGGAGGAUAACUCCUGGCUGCAGGAGCAGUGAGUGCAAAGGUACUGAGGUCUCCUUCACUGGAUGCUUGUACACAGACUCCUGAGUCUGAGUUAAUUACCCAAGCCAAUCCACAGAACCUGUCUGAACAGUGACCAGCAUAUUGUAAGUGCUUAAUAUACAUCGACUUUUGUUAUUGCAAUCAAGCCCUUUACAGCAAUAAACUGUGAGAGAGGCACUAUUCUCAUUUUACAGAUUGGAAAACAGUUUCAGAAAUGUUGAGUGACAUCUAAGGUCACAUCACAUAGCAUAUAAAGGACUCAAUCUCAGGAAUCCGUGCUCAUAAAUAUUUCUGGAAUGACAGAGAAAUGUGUAAAGUAUAAAAAAAGCAAAAAAAAAAAAAAAAACCACACUAACAAAUUAUGAACAUUUCCUCAUAACAUUAUCUUCUUGGCAGCUCUAUCACACUGAGUCAUUUGAGCUCAUUGACACUUAAACUAAGUGUCUUCACACAUGGAUGACUGACCUGUUGAGGGACCACCGUGGAGCUUCGUUUUUCAUGGUUCUUUAAAUGUGUGGACAUGUGUUUCAUCUGCAGCUGAAUGAAGACAAGGUCCAUACUUUGGGGGCAGGCUUUGUUAACAAAUAGUCACUAUAUACAAAUAUAUUAUAUAAAAAUAAGCAGUUACAUCAAAUGCUACACAUAAGUUAAAAUUAAGUCCACCUUCAUCCCUCACUUGUAUUUCCACUCUUUCUACUGAUUUCUUUUUUUGAGACAGAGUCUCAUUCUGUUGCCCAGGCUGGAGUG